UACAGAGGGGGCAAGCGUUGUUCGGAAUUACUGGGCGUAAAGGGCGCGCAGGCGGCCCGCUAAGUCGAACGUGAAAUCCCCGAGCUCAACUCGGGAACUGCGUCCGAUACUGGCGGGCUUGAAUCCGGGAGAGGGAUGCGGAAUUCCAGGUGUAGCGGUGAAAUGCGUAGAUAUCUGGAGGAACACCGGUGGCGAAGGCGGCAUCCUGGACCGGCAUUGACGCUGAGGCGCGAAAGCUAGGGGAGCAAACGGG
rnacentral:rRNA from 1 species